rnacentral:rRNA from 1 species
UGAAUACGAGAUGCUACGGCGUCGAAGCAGUCUAUGUCAUACUUCCAAGAAAAGCUUGCACUGUCAUAAACAAAUAAUGCCUGUACCAUAACCGACACAGGUGGGUAGGUAGAGUAUACUAAGGGGCGCGAGAUAACUCUCUCUAAGGAACUCGGCAAAAUGACUCCGUAACUUCGGGAGAAGGAGUGCCUUAUUUAUAAGGUUGCAAUAACAAGACCCAAGCAACUGUCUAUCAAAAACACAGGUCUCCGCUAAGUCGUAAGACGAUGUAUGGGGGCUGACGCCUGCCCAGUGCCAGAAGGUUAAAGAAGUUGGUUAGCAUUAGCGAAGCUGAUGACUGAAGCCCUGGUGAACGGCGGCCGUAACAAUAACGGUCCUAAGGUAGCGAAAUUCCUUGUCGGGUAAGUUCCGACCCGCACGAAAGGCGUAAUGAUUUGGGUACUGUCUCAGAGAGGGACUCGGUGAAAUAGACUUGUCUGUGAAGAUGCGGACUACCUGCACCUGGACAGAAAGACCCUAUGAAGCUUUACUGUAACCUGAAAUUGAAAUUGGACUUUAUUUGCGCAGUAUAGGUGGGAGGCUUUGAAGAUAUUCUUGCGGGAAUGUUGGAGCCAUCAGUGAGAUACCACUCUUGUAAUGUUAGAUUUCUAACUUUGUAUCAUUAUCUGGUCAAAGAACAGUUUCAGGCGGGCAGUUUGACUGGGGCGGUCGCCUCCUAAACGGUAACGGAGGCGCACAAAGGUUUCCUCUGAACGGGUAGAAAUCGUAUCUAGAGUGUAAAGGCAUAAGGAAGCUUGACUGUGAGACCUACAAGUCGAGCAGGGACGAAAGUCGGUCUUAGUGAUCUGACGGUGCUGAGUGGAAAGGCCGUCACUCAACGGAUAAAAGUUACUCUAAGGAUAACAGGCUGAUCUCCCCCAAGAGUUCACAUCGACGGGGAGGUUUGGCACCUCGAUGUCGGCUCAUCGCAUCCUGGGGCGGUAGUACGUCCCAAGGGUUGGGCUGUUCGCCCAUGAAAGCGGUACGCGAGCUGGGUUCAGAACGUCGUGAGACAGUUCGGUCCAUAUCCGGUGUAGGCGUUAGAAUAUUGAGAGGAGCCUUCUCUAGUACGAGAGGACCGAGAAGGACACACCUCUGGUGUACCAGUUAUCGUGCCAACGGUAAACGCUGGGUAGCUAUGUGUGGAGCGGAUAACCGCUGAAAGCAUCUAAGUGGGAAGCCCACCUCAAGAUAAGUA